rnacentral:rRNA from 1 species
UAUACGGUCGGAGGGAUCAUUACACAAAUAUGAAGGCGGGCUGGAACCUCUCGGGGUUACAGCCUUGCUGAAUUAUUCACCCUUGUCUUUUGCGUACUUCUUGUUUCCUUGGUGGGUUCGCCCACCACUAGGACAAACAUAAACCUUUUGUAAUUGCAAUCAGCGUCAGUAACAAAUUAAUAAUUACAACUUUCAACAACGGAUCUCUUGGUUCUGGCAUCGAUGAAGAACGCAGCGAAAUGCGAUAAGUAGUGUGAAUUGCAGAAUUCAGUGAAUCAUCGAAUCUUUGAACGCACAUUGCGCCCUUUGGUAUUCCAAAGGGCGUGCCUGUUCGAGCGUCAUUUGUACCCUCAAGCUUUGCUUGGUGUUGGGCGUCUUGUCUCUAGCUUUGCUGGAGACUCGCCUUAAAGUAAUUGGCAGCCGGCCUACUGGUUUCGGAGCGCAGCACAAGUCGCACUCUCUAUCAGCAAAGGUCUAGCAUCCAUUAAGCCUUUUUUUCAACUUUGACCUCGGAUCAGGUAGAUGCCAGUCG